rnacentral:lncRNA from 1 species
GACAGGUGUGUGGCCUCCCAUAACUAUAGCUGGUUUGGUGGACGACCCAGCUGUCGUAUCUACAAUAAGUAAAAAAAAUUAAAUUAAUUAAAGCAUGCAUAUAAGAGUUUUUAUAUUUUUAGUAAAGAGUUUUGGUAUAGAUUUCUUACUAGUCUAUCAGCCACAACAUGUGUGCCGAUCGAGCCGCCCGUGUGCCUGAUCGGAUCUUGCAAGAUGGUCUGAUUCUGUCAGACCCUCUACCAUCUAUUGGAGUACUCUUUGCUGCUC